GACAGAGGUGCCGAGCGUUAGGCGGAAUCACUGGGCUUAAAGCGUGUGUAGGCGGGUCGUUAAGUGUCUUGUGAAAUCCCACCGCUCAACGGUGGAACUGCUGGGCAUACUGGCGAUCUUGAGCCACCUAGGGGCAGACGGAACAAGCGGUGGAGCGGUGAAAUGCGUAGAUAUCGUCUGGAACGCCGAAGGUGAAAACAGCUCGCUGGGGCUGCGCUGACGCUGAGACACGAAGGCUAGGGGAGCAAACAGG
rnacentral:rRNA from 1 species